GGGCUUUCCUCCAUUAUCAUGCUCACGUCCUAAUCCGCUCGGAAGCACCGCAACGGAUGCAUCUUCGACAACCAACAGCCUUCCGUCUCCUCACUCCUUUACGAGCUCAAGGAGGAGGCGCUGUUAUGGGCCAAAGCCGGAGCCACCACGAUAAUGAACCUACUUCCCGAGAUGUACCCCUCAAAUAAAAUGUUGGAGCUGAGCAAGCCCUUUUCCUCUGCUCAGGUGCACUAG
rnacentral:rRNA from 1 species